rnacentral:rRNA from 1 species
UGGGGAAUAUUGGACAAUGGGGGGGAACCCUGAUCCAGCCAUGCCGCGUGUGUGAAGAAGGCCUUAUGGUUGUAAAGCACUUUAAGCGAGGAGGAGGCUACUUUAGUUAAUACCUAGAGAUAGUGGACGUUACUCGCAGAAUAAGCACCGGCUAACUCUGUGCAAG